rnacentral:rRNA from 1 species
CCUACGGGUGGCUGCAGUCGAGAAUCAUUCACAAUGGGGGAAACCCUGAUGGUGCGACGCCGCGUGGGGGAAUGAAGGUCUUCGGAUUGUAAACCCCUGUCAUGUGGGAGCAAAUUAAAAAGAUAGUACCACAAGAGGAAGAGUCGGCUAACUCUGUGCCAGCAGCCGAGGUAAUACGGAGGUCUCAAGCGUUGUUCGGAAUCACUGGGCGGAAAGCGUGCGUAGGCUGUUUCGUAAGUAGUGUGUGAGAGGCGCGGGCUCAACCCGCGGACGGCACAUGAUACUGCGAGACUAGAGUAAAGGAGGGGGAACCGGAAUUCUCGGUGUAGCAGUGAAAUGCGUAGAUAUCGGGAGGAACACUCGUGGCGAAGGCGGGUUCCUGGACAUUAACUGACGCUGAGGCACGAAGGCCAGGGGAGCGAAAGGGAUUAGAUACCCUUGUAGUC